GACGAACGCUGGCGGCGUGCUUAACACAUGCAAGUCGAACGGAAAGGCCCUGCUUUUGUGGGGUGCUCGAGUGGCGAACGGGUGAGUAACACGUGAGUAACCUGCCCUUGACUUUGGGAUAACUUCAGGAAACUGGGGCUAAUACCGGAUAGGAGCUCCUGCUGCAUGGUGGGGGUUGGAAAGUUUCGGCGGUUGGGGAUGGACUCGCGGCUUAUCAGCUUGUUGGUGGGGUAGUGGCUUACCAAGGCUGUGAAGGGUAGCCGGCCUGAGAGGGGGACCGGCCACAUGGGGACUGAGAUACGGCCCAGACUGCUACGGGAGGCAGCAGUGGGGAAUAUUGCACAAUGGGCGGAAGCCUGAUGCAGCAACGCCGCGUGCGGGAUGACGGCCUUCGGGUUGUAAACCGCUUUCGCCUGUGACGAAGCGUGAGUGACGGUAAUGGGUAAAGAAGCACCGGCUAACUACGUG
rnacentral:rRNA from 1 species